AGUAGUUAGGAGCUUGGCUGCUAACCAAAAGGUCGGUGGUUCAAAUCCAUCAACUGCUC
rnacentral:tRNA from 1 species